CUGUACAGUUCAGAGUUUGAUCCUGGCUCAGGAUGAACGCUGGCGGCGUGCCUAACACAUGCAAGUCGAGCGAACCCUUCGGGGUAAGCGGCGGACGGGUGAGUAACGCUGGGUAACCUGCCCUGUACACACGGAUAACAUACCGAAAGGUAUGCUAAUACGGGAUAAUAUGUUUUGAUCGCAUGGUCGAGACAUCAAAGCUCCGGCGGUACAGGAUGGACCCGCGUCUGAUUAGCUAGUUGGUGAGGUAAUGGCUCACCAAGGCGACGAUCAGUAGCCGACCUGAGAGGGUGAUCGGCCACAUUGGAACUGAGACACGGUCCAA
rnacentral:rRNA from 1 species